rnacentral:rRNA from 1 species
UACGUAGGGUGCGAGCGUUGUCCGGAAUUAUUGGGCGUAAAGAGCUUGUAGGCGGUCUGUCGCGUCUGCUGUGAAAAUCCGGGGCUCAACCCCGGACUUGCAGUGGGUACGGGCAGACUAGAGUGUGGUAGGGGAGACUGGAAUUCCCGGUGUAGCGGUGAAAUGCGCAGAUAUCGGGAGGAACACCAGUAGCGAAGGCGGCUCUCUGGGCCGUGACUGACGCUGAGGAGCGAAGGCGUGGGGAGCGAACAGG